AUUCGAAAAUCGAAAAUUUCCUUAUAGAUCUAGCCUCUACUAGGCUUUGUCUGUGCAUUCGAAAGUCGAUCAGACAUAGCCUAUAAGAGGUUAGGUGUACCAAGGCGACAAGACAUCACAAAAAC
rnacentral:precursor_RNA from 15 species